AGGCAAUUAGUUUAAGUAAAACAUUUGAUUUCGGCUCAAAAACUUGGGGUUAAAGGCCACAAUCACCUA
rnacentral:tRNA from 1 species